rnacentral:rRNA from 1 species
AGGUCUAGCCUGCCCAGUGAUAAAUUUAACGGCCGCGGUACCCUAACCGUGCGAAGGUAGCAUAAUCACUUGUUCUUUAAAUGAGGACUUGUAUCAACGGCAUCACGAGGGUUUAACUGUCUCCUUUUUCAUAUCAGUAAAACUAAUCCCCCCGUGAAGAAGCGGGGAUGACUUUAUAAGACGAGAAGACCCCAUGGAGCUUUAAACCCAGAAACACUCCUUCAAACCUCACCUUUUAACAUAUGGACCCUGUAUAUUCUGGUUUUAGGUUGGGGUGACCGCGGAGCAUAAACUAGCCUCCACAAUGAAUAGACUUCUUCUUUAUCCUUGACUUACUCCUCUAAGAAUUAGUAUUCUAACAUAAAAUGAUCCGAUUACUCGAUCAACGAACCAAGUUACCCUGGGGAUAACAGCGCAAUCUACUUCAAGAGCUCCUAUCGACAAGUGGGUUUACGACCUCGAUGUUGGAUCAGGGUAUCCCAGUGGUGCAGCAGCUACUAAAGGUUCGUUUGUUCAACGAUUAAAACCCU